rnacentral:rRNA from 1 species
AAUGAACGCUGGCGGCAGGCUUAACACAUGCAAGUCGAACGCCCCGCAAGGGGAGUGGCAGACGGGUGAGUAAUGCGUGGGAAUCUACCCAUCUCUGCGGAAUAGCUCCGGGAAACUGGAAUUAAUACCGCAUACGCCCUACGGGGGAAAGAUUUAUCGGGGAUGGAUGAGCCCGCGUUGGAUUCGCUGGUUGGUGGGGUAAAGGCAUACCAAGGCGACGAUCCAUAGCUGGGCUGAGAGGAUGAUCAGCCACAUUGGGACUGAGAUACGGCCCAAACUCCUACGGGAGGCGGCAGUGGGGAAUAUUGGAAAAUGGGCGCAAGCCUGAUCCAGCCAUGCCGCGUGAGUGAUGAAGGCCUUAGGGUUGUAAAGCUCUUUCACCGGUGAAGAUAAUGACGGUAACCGGAGAAGAAGCCCCGGCUAACUUCGUGCCAGCCGCCGCCGUAA